rnacentral:lncRNA from 1 species
CACAAAACACUUGGCCAGGCAAAAGAGUCGGUGUUCAUUCACUAGGAGACCACACAUCGAUCGAGAUCAUUGCUCGUGACCGUCCUGGUCUCUUAUCUGAGGUCUCAGCCGUACUAGCAGACCUCCACUUCAACGUGGUAGCAGCUGAAGCAUGGACUCAUAACCGUAGGAUCGCGUGUGUUCUCUAUGUGAAUGAUAACGAAACAUCUAGAGCCGUCGAUGAUCCAGAUCUCGAUCUCACUAUCACCAAAGCUUACAUCUCUUCUGAUGGUGGAUGGUUCAUGGACGGUAAUAAUUACACAUUUACAUUUACAACAACGACAAAAGAAUUCAUUAUAAUGAAGCAUCUCACUGGUUCUGUUUUCACAUCUUAAUAGUAUUCCAUGUCACUGAUCAACAAGGAAACAAGGUUACUGAUAGCAAAACCAUCGAUUACAUCGAGAAGGUACGUAAUUCCAAUGUUAUUCAAAGCCUAGCACCUAUAAUGAUUAACUAAAAGCCUUAAUUAGUACUUAGGGGUCUAAGAGCAUCUCCAUAGCUCCAUAUUUUACUUUAAAAUGGAAUGAGUAAUGAAGUAAAAUAUAGUAAUAUUAAAAAUUUUAUUGUUUUUUCAUUAUUCCAUCUUAGAGUAAAAUAUGGAAUGAAGAUGGAAAUUCCUUAAGCUUUACAAAUUAUAACAAUAUACUAAAUAUAACAGUAUAGUAUAUUUAAUAUAAAGAUUUAUGAAUAACAAAAUUCAUAUAAUUUUAUUUUCAUAAGAUUUUAUAAUACGUUAUAUUAAUUAUUAUGAAAUUUAUAAAUAAAAUUAUAUAUCUAUUAACCGCCUAGAACCGUUUUCAUAACACUAGUAUAUAUAUCCAUUGGAUUGUUAUUACAAUAUAUAUGAUUCUUGUUUUUCUUGUCAGGUGCUAGGACCAAAGGGCUAUGCUUCAGCUUCACAAAACACUUGGCCAGGCAAAAGAGUCGGUGUUCAUUCACUAGGAGACCACACAUCGAUCGAGAUCAUUGCUCGUGACCGUCCUGGUCUCUUAUCUGAGGUCUCAGCCGUACUAGCAGACCUCCACUUCAACGUGGUAGCAGCUGAAGCAUGGACUCAUAACCGUAGGAUCGCGUGUGUUCUCUAUGUGAAUGAUAACGAAACCUCUAGAGCCGUUGAUGAUCCACAAAGAUUAUCUACCA